AUACUUACCUGGCAGGGGAGAUACCGUGAUCAAGAAGGCGGUUCACCCAGCACUUUGUGCUGACCCCUGCGAAUUCUCCAAAUGUGAGAAUUUUUUGGGGGCAGU
ensembl:snRNA U1 U1 spliceosomal RNA